UACGGGGGGGGCAAGCGUUGUUCGGAAUUACUGGGCGUAAAGGGCUCGUAGGCGGCCAACUAAGUCGGACGUGAAAGCCCUCGGCUUAACCGAGGAACUGCGUCCGAUACUGGAUGGCUUGAGGUUGGGAGAGGGAUGCGGAAUUCCAGGUGUAGCGGUGAAAUGCGUAGAUAUCUGGAGGAACACCGGUGGCGAAGGCGGCGAGCUGGCCUGUUACUGACGCUGAGGCGCGACAGCGUGGGGAGCAAACAGG
rnacentral:rRNA from 1 species